AAGAAUAUGAAGGGGUUUUUGGAUUCAGUGUCUCCCACACCAGCAGAAAUCCUCGGCCAGGGGAGGAAAAUGGAAAAGGGCUGAAUUGUCUCCCAAUGCUUCUGGGGGCUACAUUACUUCCUGUAGCAGACGUCCUGUCCUCUGAGACAUCUAAAGGUGUAGAUUUGGUUUCCAUUAUUGGUUGUAAUUGGUUAUUACUGAUUAUUGGCAUAUCUAAUGUGAUGAGAGAGUAAUGGGGGUUACUUUCAUCUUUCUAAAACAUAAAACUUUGUUAGCGAAUUACAUUUCAGGUCAUAAUUACAAAGAUAUGAUUGUGGACAUCACAUGUUCUCUCUGAGAUGAAUACCAGUGUGCACUUUGGAGUAAAAAAGCCUUUGAA